rnacentral:rRNA from 1 species
CAGUAGCCGCGGUAAUACGAAGGGGGCUAGCGUUGCUCGGAAUGACUGGGCGUAAAGGGCGCGUAGGCGGAUUGUUUAGUUAGGCGUGAAAUUCCUGGGCUUAACCUGGGGACUGCGCUUAAUACAGGCAGUCUAGAGUGAGGAAGAGGGUUGUGGAAUUCCCAGUGUAGAGGUGAAAUUCGUAGAUAUUGGGAAGAACACCGGUGGCGAAGGCGACUCUCUGGUCUGUAACUGACGCUGAGGAGCGAAAGCGUGGGGAGCGAACAGGAUUAGAUACCCGAGUAGUCCCUGUCUCUUAUAC